rnacentral:lncRNA from 1 species
UCCAGUACGUAUGAAUUGAAUUGCAUGAAGGAAUAAUUGCAUGAAAACUUAAAGACAAUUGUCUGCACUACUAAAGGAAAAUAAGUGUAUGAAAAACUAAAAACAAAGUCAACUACUAAUCAAAAAUCAAAAGUUGCGGCUGCUAAGUUGUGUUGUUCCAAAUUAAAAUCUAACACCCAUAUAUAUACCUAAUCUAUGCGGCUAUUAUGGAAACAAAAAUUAGGGAAUUAAGACUCCCUUAAGCCACAGCCUCUCUAAUCCCUACGGGCUUCGGCCCUUAAUAAAAUCAAACCCAAAAUACAUAAAAAUAUGAGUUUUGGACUUAAUUAAAUUUGGAACAAUUAUCUUCAAGCCCAAUCUCUAAAAUUCCUCCAUCUUUCAUGCAAUUCUUCAUAAAUUCUCGAAUUUCCAUCAUCUUUUCCAUCCACGAGCAUCCAUCUCCAAUCCAUCUAAUUCAUGCGCCAAAACGUCACAAAUCAUGUACAACCAAUAUAAAAUCAUGGCGAAACACACAUCAAACUAAGU